rnacentral:rRNA from 1 species
GCGUGCGCAGGCGGUUAUGUAAGACAGAUGUGAAAUACCCCGGGCCUCAACCUGGGAACUGCAUUUGUGACUGCAUGGCUAGAGUACGGUAGAGGGGGAGUGGAAUUCCGCGUGUAGCAGUGAAAUGCGUAGAUAUGCGGAGGAACACCGAUGGCGAAGGCAAUCCCCUGGACCUGUACUGACGCUCAUGCACGAAAGCGUGGGGAGCAAACAGGAUUAGAUACCCGAGU